rnacentral:tRNA from 1 species
AGGGCUAUAGUUUAGUGGCCAAGAAUGUUCCGGCCUUGACCCGGAAGACGUGGGUUCGAAUCCUGCUAGCCCUA